rnacentral:rRNA from 1 species
GGAAAGCUGACAAAACAACAAUUUAUUGUUGUUUGUAAAGUUCUCAAUGUUUGUCUUUAWGACAAACACCAAAAUAACACAUUCAAGUGUUCUUGGAAUUUGAGUCCGGCAAAAUCGAGUCUGCAUCAUGUAACCUGAAUACAUAGGKUAAKGAGGCGAACCGGGGGAACUGAAACAUCUAAGUACCCCGAGGAAAAGAAAUCAACCGAGAUUCCGAAAGUAGCGGCGAGCGAAAUUGGACUAGCCCUUAAGCUUUACACGCGUUAGACGAACGGUCUGGAAAGUCCGACGAUACAGGGUGAUAGUCCCGUAGUUGACGACGUGUGUUCAGUGAAAUCGAGUAGGGCGGGACACGUGAUAUCCUGUCUGAAUAUGGGGGGACCAUCCUCCAAGGCUAAAUACUACUGACUGACCGAUAGUGAACCAGUACCGUGAGGGAAAGGCGAAAAGAACCCCUGUGAGGGGAGUGAAAUAGAACCUGAAACCGUGUACGUACAAGCAGUAGGAGCAGGCUUGUCCUGUGACUGCGUACCUUUUGUAUAAUGGGUCAGCGACUUAUAUUCAGUGGCAAGGUUAACCAUCUAGGGGAGCCGUAGGGAAACCGAGUCUUAACUGGGCGUUCAGUCUCUGGAUAUAGACCCGAAACCAGGUGAUCUAGCCAUGGGCAGGUUGAAGGUUGAGUAACAUCAACUGGAGGACCGAACCGACUAAUGUUGAAAAAUUAGCGGAUGACUUGUGGCUAGGGGUGAAAGGCCAAUCAAACCUGGAGAUAGCUGGUUCUCCCCGAAAGCUAUUUAGGUAGCGCCUCGGACGAAUACUACUGGGGGUAGAGCACUGUUAAGGCUAGGGGGUCAUCCCGACUUACCAACCCUUUGCAAACUCCGAAUACCAGUAAGUACUAUCCGGGAGACACACGGCGGGUGCUAACGUCCGUCGUGGAGAGGGAAACAACCCAGACCGCCAGCUAAGGUCCCAAAUUACUACUAAGUGGGAAACGAUGUGGGAAGGCUCAGACAGCCAGGAUGUUGGCUUAGAAGCAGCCAUCAUUUAAAGAAAGCGUAAUAGCUCACUGGUCGAGUCGGCCUGCGCGGAAGAUGUAACGGGGCUAAGUAGUAAACCGAAGCUGCGGCAAURURCUUUUGYAYAUUGGGUAGGGGAGCGUUCUGUAAGCGGUUGAAGGUGUGUGGUAACGCAUGCUGGACGUAUCAGAAGUGCGAAUGCUGACAUGAGUAACGAUAAAGGGGGUGAAAAACCUCCUCGCCGGAAGACCAAGGGUUCCUGUCCAACGUUAAUCGGGGCAGGGUAAGUCGACCCCUAAGGCGAGGCCGAAAGGCGUAGUCGAUGGGAAACGGGUUAAUAUUCCCGUACUUCUUACAAUUGCGAUGGGGGGACGGAGAAGGCUAGGUGGGCCUGGCGACGGUUGUCCAGGUUCAAGUGCGUAGGCUUAAGAGUUAGGUAAAUCCGGCUCUUUUUAAGGCUGAGACACGACGUCGAGCUACUACGGUAGUGAAGUCAUUGAUGCCAUGCUUCCAGGAAAAGCCUCUAAGCUUCAGAUUGUAAGGAAUCGUACCCCAAACCGACACAGGUGGUCGGGUAGAGAAUACCAAGGCGCUUGAGAGAACUCGGGUGAAGGAACUAGGCAAAAUGGUACCGUAACUUCGGGAGAAGGUACGCUCUYGAYGGUGAAGUCCCUCGCGGAUGGAGCURWYGAGAGUCGCAGAUACCAGGUGGCUGCAACUGUUUAUUAAAAACACAGCACUGUGCAAAAUCGUAAGAUGACGUAUACGGUGUGACGCCUGCCCGGUGCCGGAAGGUUAAUUGAUGGGGUUAGACUUCGGUCGAAGCUCUUGAUCGAAGCCCCGGUAAACGGCGGCCGUAACUAUAACGGUCCUAAGGUAGCGAAAUUCCUUGUCGGGUAAGUUCCGACCUGCACGAAUGGCGUAAUGAUGGCCACGCUGUCUCCACCCGAGACUCAGUGAAAUUGAAAUCGCUGUGAAGAUGCAGUGUACCCGCGGCUAGACGGAAAGACCCCGUGAACCUUUACUACAGCUUGGCACUGAACAUUGACCCUACAUGUGUAGGAUAGGUGGGAGGCUUUGAAGCACGUACGCCAGUAUGUGUGGAGCCGUCCUUGAAAUACCACCCUUGUAGUGUUGAUGUUCUAACGUCGACCCCUUAUCGGGGUUGCGGACAGUGCCUGGUGGGUAGUUUGACUGGGGCGGUCUCCUCCCAAAGAGUAACGGAGGAGCACGAAGGUGGGCUAAUCACGGUUGGACAUCGUGAGGUUAGUGCAAUGGCAUAAGCCCGCUUGACUGCGAGAAUGACAAUUCGAGCAGGUGCGAAAGCAGGUCAUAGUGAUCCGGUGGUUCUGAAUGGAAGGGCCAUCGCUCAACGGAUAAAAGGUACUCCGGGGAUAACAGGCUGAUACCGCCCAAGAGUUCAUAUCGACGGCGGUGUUUGGCACCUCGAUGUCGGCUCAUCACAUCCUGGGGCUGAAGUCGGUCCCAAGGGUAUGGCUGUUCGCCAUUUAAAGUGGUACGCGAGCUGGGUUUAGAACGUCGUGAGACAGUUCGGUCCCUAUCUGCCGUGGGCGUUGGAAGAUUGAAGGGGGCUGCUCCUAGUACGAGAGGACCGGAGUGGACGAACCUCUGGUGUUCGGGUUGUGUCGCCAGACGCAUUGCCCGGUAGCUAAGUUCGGAAUCGAUAACCGCUGAAAGCAUCUAAGCGGGAAGCGAGCCCUGAGAUGAGUCUUCCCUGAUACUUUAAGUAUCCUAAAGGGUUGUCGGAGACUACGACGUUGAUAGGUCAGGUGUGUAAGUGCUGUGAGGCAUUGAGCUAACUGAUACUAAUUGCCCGUGAGGCUUAACCAU